UUGCACUGAGAACUGUCUCCUUUAGUCUUUCCUUGGCUUUUGGAGUCUUGUUUCGGUGCCAGAUUAAAAUCCCUGCGAGCAGAAAGGCCAGGCUUUACCAUAACCUGCCCCUUCCGAUAGCUGGGUACAAAU
rnacentral:snoRNA from 1 species